rnacentral:rRNA from 1 species
GAUGAACGCUGGCGGCGUGCCUAAUACAUGCAAGUCGAGCGAACAGAUGAGGAGCUUGCUCCUCUGACGUUAGCGGCGGACGGGUGAGUAACACGUGGAUAACCUACCUAUAAGACUGGGAUAACUUCGGGAAACCGGAGCUAAUACCGGAUAAUAUAUUGAACCGCAUGGUUCAAUAGUGAAAGACGGUUUUGCUGUCACUUAUAGAUGGAUCCGCGCCGCAUUAGCUAGUUGGUAAGGUAACGGCUUACCAAGGCAACGAUGCGUGGCCGACCUGAGAGGGUGAUCGGCCACACUGGAACUGAGAAACGGUCCAGACUCCUACGGGAGGCAGCAGUAGGGAAUCUUCCGCAAUGGGCGAAAGCCUGACGGAGCAACGCCGCGUGAGUGAUGAAGGUCUUCGGAUCGUAAAACUCUGUUAUUAGGGAAGAACAAAUGUGUAAGUAACUAUGCACGUCUUGACGGUACCUAAUCAGAAAGCCACGGCUAACUACGUG